rnacentral:rRNA from 1 species
UAUCUCUGUAGAGUCUGCAUAUCAAUAAGCGGAGGAAAAGAAACUAACAAGGAUUCCCUUAGUAACGGCGAGUGAAGCGGGAAGAGCUCAAAUUUGAAAUCUUCAAGGUUCUACCUUGACGAAUUGUAGUUUAAAGAAGUGUUUUCUGUUAGAUGAGUAGCAAAAGUUCCUUGGAAUGGGACAUCAUAGAGGGUGAGAAUCCCGUAUUUGGUUAUUCAUUCUAGCUUUGUCGAUACACUUUCAAAGAGUCGGAUUGUUUGGGAAUGCAGUCCAAAAUGGGUGGUAAAUUUCAUCUAAAGCUAAAUAUUGGCGAGAGACCGAUAGCGAACAAGUACCGUGAGGGAAAGAUGAAAAGAACUUUGAAAAGAGAGUUAAACAGUACGUGAAAUUGUCAAAAGGGAAGCGUUUGACACCAGUGUUGUUUUUUCCGAAAAUCAAUUACGAAUGGCUUGAUUUUGUGUUGUAUUGACCUUAUCAGCUUUCUUCACUUUUUUCGAGUCUUUCUUAAUGCACUUUUCGGUUAACAAGUCAACAUCAAUUUCUUUUGUUGUAAAAGAGUAUUCGGAAGGUGGCUUUCUUUUCGGAGAAAGUGUUUAUAGCCUUUGGCCUCUGCAAUCGGAGAGAUUGAGGUCUGCAGCGUAGAUCCUUCGGGGUUAGAUACAUUUGUGCUAAGUUAUAGCCUUUCAUAGACAACUUGUUGACUAUGAUCAGUCAUGUAGCUUACUCGCUUAUGCUAUUUUACCUACGCUUAGGAUGUUGACUGAUAUGUAGUCGUA